rnacentral:lncRNA from 1 species
AGGAGUCUUCCUUUUACAGUGCUCAGUCAGCCUGGUCAAGGUCCUGUGGUCAUCCAGGCAUAGAAAGGACCAGAGUCAAAGCCAAAGCCAAAGCCAUUGCAAACACUUUUUGCUGUGCUGAGUGCUACCCACAACUGUUCUCACACGGUGCUCUACUGCUUCCCGAAGAAGGAGAAACGCUGGAGGCCACUUCUUUCCAUUUUACAUUAUGGAUCAGCAAAGUAUUCGGAAAAGCAGCUGCUGAAUUCACAAGGAGAAAAGCCACCCUGGAAGACGUUGUAAAAACAUAACUUUGCCUAUGAAGUGAUGGGGUCUCCAAAACCUGAAUAGUAAACAGCGGAUCGAGGCGAGUGUGAGUCUGUUCCUCAUUGUGUGACCCUAUGGUGCCCUUCUCCGUAGCUGCUUCUCCAUGGCCCUUCAAAGGAUGUGCUACUGGGCUCAGCUAGGCAGUAAACAUACCCUGCAAAGGGUCUUUGUGCUGAUUUGUGAUUAAAGCAAACAAGAUAAUCAGUUCCAGGGCUGGAGGGAGGACGGCUCUCAUGCAUGCCUCUAUUCACAAGACCCUGGAAGCCUUUCAACAUGGCAGUGGCUGCAGCAAUUACCUCUCAGACUACAGAAUAAAGGGGUCCUGUCUGGAAAUGCAAUUAUUUCAGAAUAAAAGGUUUGAAA